rnacentral:rRNA from 1 species
CCUACGGGAGGCUGCAGUGGGGAAUAUUGGACAAUGGGGGGAACCCUGAUCCAGCCAUGCCGCGUGUGUGAAGAAGGCCCUCGGGUUGUAAAGCACUUUCAGUGAGGAAGAACGCCUGGUGGUUAAUAUCCAUCAGGAAAGACAUCACUCACAGAAGAAGCACCGGCUAACUCCGUGCCAGCAGCCGCGGUAAUACGGAGGGUGCGAGCGUUAAUCGGAAUUACUGGGCGUAAAGCGCGCGUAGGUGGCUUGAUAAGCCGGUUGUGAAAGCCCCGGGCUCAACCUGGGAACGGCAUCCGGAACUGUCAAGCUAGAGUGCAGGAGAGGAAGGUAGAAUUCCCGGUGUAGCGGUGAAAUGCGUAGAGAUCGGGAGGAAUACCAGUGGCGAAGGCGGCCUUCUGGACUGACACUGACACUGAGGUGCGAAAGCGUGGGUAGCAAACAGGAUUAGAUACCCCUGUAGUC